rnacentral:rRNA from 1 species
AAGUCGUAACCAAAGGUUUCCGUAGAACAAGUCUUGCAGGAAUGAUUCGUUCCGCAGUGUACACUUGUAGAAGCCUUUGCAGCCACGCAAGUGGUAGAUCUAGGCGACUUUAAACAAUUCUAGGAUCGUUAUGCAAGUCGGCCCACGCGUGUGGUGCCGGCGACACUUUCGAAUUGACGGGGAUACCCUAAAGCCUGUCGCACCAACUCUGUGUGGGAAACCGCUGGAGGGCCCGUGCUAACUACACGGGGUGGUAACAGACGACACGGAUACCUCCACGCCUUUUUUGGUGUGGAUACCAUGGGCAAUCCGCAGCGAAGCCUCUAAGUCCGGCCGCCGGAUACGAGGAACGUUCACAGACUAAGUGGAAGUGGGUGAAGCGUUCGCCGCUUUGCUUAAGAUAUAGUCGGUCCCCUUGGGAAACUAAGGGGGUGAGUACACUGCUCGAAAUUUAAACUUGAGCGCGUCUCGGAUAGCGCUCGUGUUAGAAUUUCGGGACCGUCGAUUGCCUCGCGGUUCGACGGCUCUUAAAACGUUCCGUAGGUGAACCUGCGGAAGGAUCAUUACAGAAAGUAAACGCGGAUCGAACCGCGAACUUCUAAACCUUUGACGAUUGACUCAUGUUGCCUCGGCGGGUUCUCCCGCCAGAGGAUACAUCAAAACUCCUGUUUUAACGGUGUUGUCUGAGCUACAAGCAACGAAUCAAAACUUUCAACAACGGAUCUCUUGGUUCUGGCAUCGAUGAAGAACGCAGCGAAAUGCGAUAAGUAGUGUGAAUUGCAGAAUUCAGUGAAUCAUCGAAUCUUUGAACGCACAUUGCGCCCCUUGGUAUCCCGAGGGGCAUGCCUGUUCGAGCGUCAUUUCACCACUCAAGCCUGGCUUGGUGUUGGGCGACGUCCCCUUCAGGGACGCGCCUCGAAACGCUCGGCGGCGUGGCACCGGCUUUAAGCGUAGCAGAAUCUUUCGCUUCAAAAGUCGGGGCCCCGUCUGCCGGAAGACCU